UUAGUAAUAAUNUUAUCAACAAUAUAAAGUCGAAAUUUAAUCUAUUACUAACAAAAAAAAUCCCGGUGGAUCCAGUUAGGGCGGCCGCCCCCUGGAUCCGCCACUGUUAACAACUGAAAAGAUUAAGAUGACGAAUAGACAAACAUAAAAAGGUAGGAUGCUAGGAUCAUAAAAAGAGCCUUGUAUGGGCAUGGACAGCGGAGUUUGGAUUAUGUAGUAAGGCAUCAUUUUAGUCUCCCAUCGAUCUGAGCUGCCGCCUUGGGGUUCCAAAAGAAAGAGAACUGAUUGAUGAUCGGACGGCGAUGACUAUCUAUGAGGUGAAGAAGAAAUAAACCAUUCAGUAAUCACAAUCUUAAUGAACAGAGAAUAAUGAGCAAUCAUCGAAAGCAGAACAAUUACUUGAGGUCCAACAUCCUUUUGCAACAAGGUGUAUUCUUGCUCAACACCAUACCUAUUAUAGAUAUAGCUCUAAAAAAUUCGGGAUUGUAAAAUGUAAACUAAAUGAGGAGUCGCAAAUGGCACAUAAUGAUGAAACCAAGGUUUUUCGGCAACAACAUUAGGAUUGCUAAAUAUUUUGGUUAGACUGUUCCUUCUGUUAGUUGGAAUUGGCUCACUAGCUAGGGUGUAAGCAUCACAGAUGAUCUAUGAGGCAAAAAGAAAAGGCGAUAUCAUAUAAUCCACAUAACAACAUAAUUAAACACAAAAUAUUUAUUAGUAAUAAGGGGAAAAAUAACUCACCAAUAUGUUAUUUACCCUCCUGAAUGGAUCAUUGUAAAUUGUUUGAGGAUUGUCUCAUCGUCAUGCAAUGCAUUAAUGCGCAUGCAUAUAUUUCAUUAUAAAAUAUCUUAAAUGGAAGACGGCUUACUAUAAGAUGACUUAAAAGUCUUCUCUAAGAGCUUGACCCACCAUAGUUCCAGUUCGGAAGCUUUGCAGGGGCAUUAAUGGGUCCAGAAAGUGCCUACCAAAACCAAAGAUAUCGUGUAAGAAUUUAUAAACUCAUUAUGGAACAUUAAUUAUUACAUUUGUAAAAAGAAAAUUCAAGACAAGAAGGGUUGAUUACCCUUGUUUGCUUCUGACGUCCAUACCACAGCCACCAAUCUUGUUUAAAUAUUGUUUAAAUGAAAUGACAAUGGGUAGAACAAGAGGAAAAAUGUUUGUUCCACUUGAAAAGAAUUAAUUAUAAUGAAUUAAAACAAAAUGUACAAAAUAAUCAGCACCAUAAAUAAUCACAACUUUUACAAUCAACGAUCUCUGUCUAGUAAAACCAAAAUUUGUUAUCUGCUUACAUAGGAUAUUGACUAAACUGGAUAGCUUGGUUCAAGACUAGUGAAGUUUGUUAGAUUCUCAAUUGUUAAUCACUUCUAAUUUAAGCUAUCAAUAGGCGAACUACCUAUUGAUGGCUUUGCCUAUCUAUUCUAUCAGUAUGGUCAGCUUGCCAUGCUUAUUAAUUUCAUGCCUCCAAAUAAAUCCCAUAAACAUCAAGUAGACAACAAAANGUACAUUUGCAAAGAAGGAUAACAAGGAAAAGGUACAAUAAAUAUCCAUCAAUAAUGAAAAGGCUAUUUGUAACUAUAACGGUGGGAAAUUACUCAAAAACUUCAAAUUAAAAUGUGAUCUUCUGUUCAUGGGGUUGAUCCAGAAAGACCCAAAAAAAAAUGCAUAAACAUCAAAAGAUCUACGAUAAUAUAUGCACAGAUAUACAGAACAGUAAAAAGAAUGAUUGAAAAAUGUAUAAUAAGAAGCAUGUUACACAAUAAUUGAAAACAAAGCACGUUAGUGCAUAUGAAACACAAUAAAAUGAAGAACCAGAGAAUCUAACAAAAAAGGGAUCAAAACCCACAAAAAUUACAUCAAGAGAUAGGUAAAACUAUGUCCCAUAUUUUUUUGGGACAAAAGAAAAUAAAACCAAAAAACAGAGAAUCCAAUACUAUCAAGAAACAGAGCAACACCAUAAACUAAAUGAAGAGAAACUCACCAUAUGUGCUCAACAAUAAUCUUUUCUGUAGAGCUUGAGAGACUAAGACUAAUGAGAUUUGAAACCUAUUGGUGUAGAAUAGGCGAUGCGGGUGACGCCAUUCUCGCCGACCUCACGUUUCUUUGUGAGAUCCAUUAAUGAAAUUGGGUACUGGAAAGAAAACCUAGCGGAAGAAAUGAAGAGAUUUCCAUGGCAAAUCAACAAAAUCUUAAGACAUGUUAGGCUUUUCUAUAAAUACGCAGCCAAAAAUCAAAAAUCAAAAAUCAAAAAUCAAAUAUAAAAGCGUGUUCACACAUUUCAAUCAGAAUGUGAAAGUGUUAAGUGCGUGAAAACACAUACCACUGUUGCUGACCAACAACAGCUUGAUGAGAUAUAGUCAUAAUCAGCUCGAGCUCUGGCAAGUGGAGAACGCGUCUACAUCUGAUUUAAUUCAAACAUCACAAAUUUAAAACAGAAAACAAAAACUUGGAAAAAAGGUAAUCCUAAAGAUUUAUUUCGGGUGGAAGAAAUCAUAACAUCAAAAUUUUGAAAUUUUAAAAUAAUUAUAAUAUUGAUGAAAAAAAAGUCAAAAUUAAUAUACACAAACAAUUCCUCUCAUAACCAUCUUUUCUUGAAUCAACAACAACCCAAUUAUACAUAAUGAUUUUCAUAGCAUCAAGCCAAACGAGCCAUUUUCUUUCUAAUUGCCAAAUGUUCACAAUAUUGUUUAGCUAAUUCUAUUCAAUUUUCCUCAAGCCCAGCUUUCAAAUGUUGGAAUGCCAGACUUUUAACCCAGAACGUUGAUUUCCCUUCUCAAAGUUCAACAUAAAACCUGUAAGUAUUCGAAAAAGAAGAAGAAGAAGAAGAAGAAGCCCUAGAACUAAUAGUGAGUGUAAAAAAAAAAUGAAAAACAAAUAGUGCUUGGAUUUCUUGAAACCGCCAUUGUUGUUGAACUCACCUUCGGGUCUACCUGUCCUUUUUCCACCUAUGAAUUCCAUCCCCAAAUUUUCUAAUGAAGAUAGCAAAAAAAGCUUGUGAUGUAUAACUGGGGAGGAAAAAUGGAAAACGGAAUAAAACUGAGGUGUAUGUGUAUGAUGUAUAACUGAGAGGCAAAAUGGAGAACGGAGUAAGCAAUGGGAUGUUGCGUGUAGAAAUGGUGAAUGAAUGUCAGAAGAAAAAGUCUCCAUGCUUCAGGGCCCAAAAUGAAAAAAAGAAAAGAAAAAAUGAUGAUAAGCAUGACACAAUGAUGAUGCACUAUGAAUAGUAACAAAUCUGGCUCUUUUAUAUACUGUUGUAGAGACGUCCACUUUUAAAAAGAUAAUUAUAUCAUAUUUUUGAUCCUAUGUAAAUCAUAUAUAAAAUUACAUUAUAAAAUAAAACAAACUUAAAAGUAUCAAUCGAAACACAAACAACUAAAAUUAUGAGUUUAUAUGUGAAAAAUUAAUUAAUAUAUGAUUCGAUGAGGAAUUUGUUAGAUUCUCAAUUGUUAAUCACUUCUAAUUUAAGCUAUCAAUAGGCGAACUACCUAUUGAUGGCUUUGCCUAUCUAUUCUAUCAGUAUGGUCAGCUUGCCAUGCUUAUUAAUUUCAUGCCUCCAAAUAAAUCCCAUAAACAUCAAGUAGACAACAAAAUGUACAUUUGCAAAGAAGGAUAACAAGGAAAAGGUACAAUCAAUAUCCAUCGAUAAUGAAAAGGCUAUUUGUAACUAUAACGGUUGGAAAUUACUCAAAAACUUCAAAUUAAAAUGUGAUCUUCUGUUCAUAGGGUUGAUCCAGAAAGACCAAAAAAAAAUGCAUAAACAUCAAAAUAUCUACGAUAAUAUACGCAUAGAUAUACAGAACGGUAAAAAGAAUGGAUUGAAACAUGUAUAAUAAGAAGCAUGUUACACAAUAAUUGAAAACAACGCACGUUAGUGCAUAUGAAACACAAUAAAAUGAAGAACCAGAGAAUCUGACAAAAAAGGGAUCAAAACCCACAAAAAUUACACCAAGAGAUAGGUAAAACAAUGUCCCAUAUUUUUUUAGGACAAAUAGAAAAUAAAAACAAAAAAUAGAGAAUCCAAUACUAUCAAGAAACAGAGCAACACCAUAAACUAAAUGAAGAAAAACUCACCGUAUGUGCUCAACAAUAAUCUUUUCUGUAGAGCUUGAGAGAUUAAGACUAAUGAGAUUUGAAAGCUAUUGGUAUAGAAUAGGCGAUGCGGGUGACGCCAUUCUCGUCAACCUCACGUAUCAUUGUGAGAUCCAUUAAUGAAAUUGGGUAUUGAAAAGAAAACCCAGCAGAAGAAAUGAAGAGAUUUCCAUGGUAAAUCAGCAAAAUCUUAAGAUAUGUUAGGCUUUUAUAUAAAUACCCAGCCAAAAAUCAAAUAUAAAAGCGUGUUCACACAUUUCGAUCAGAAUGUGAAAGUGUUAAGUACGUGAAAACACAUACCACUAUUGCCGAUCAACAACAGCUUGAUGAGAUAUAAUCAUAAUCAGCUCGAGCUCUGGCAAGUGGAGAACGCAUUUACAUAUGAUUUAAUUCAAACAUCAUAAAUUUAAUACAACAAAAAAACUUGGAAAAAGGGUAAUCCUAAAGAUUUAUUUCAAGGUGGGAGAAAUCAUAACAUCUAAAAUUUGAAAUUUUAAAAUAAUAAUAAUAUUGAUGAGAAA
rnacentral:lncRNA from 1 species